UAACAGGAAACGUGCCCGGAUGUCUGGAGCC
rnacentral:piRNA from 1 species